GUUUCUUCGGGGACAUCCGAUAAAAUUGGAACAAUACAGAGAAGAUUAGCAUGCCCCUGUGCAAGGAUCACACACACAAAUCAAGAAACGGUCCCAAAAAUA
rfam:Cucumis melo, WGS project CAJI01000000 data, contig: 01154